CGUAGGUAACCUGCCUGGUAGCGGGGGAUAACUAUUGGAAACGAUAGCUAAUACCGCAUAAUAGCAGUUAUUGCAUGAUAACUGUUUGAAAGGUGCAAUUGCAUCACCACCAGAUGGACCUGCGUUGUAUUAGCUAGUUGGUGGGGUAACGGCUCACCAAGGCGACGAUACAUAGCCGACCUGAGAGGGUGAUCGGCCACACUGGGACUGAGACACGGCCCAG
rnacentral:rRNA from 1 species